rnacentral:rRNA from 1 species
ACGUGGUACCUGCGAAGCUUCGGGGAGUCGGCAAACAGACUGUGAUCCGGAGAUGUCUGAAUGGGGGAACCCAGCCAUCAUAAGAUGGUUAUCUUGUACUGAAUACAUAGGUGCAAGAGGCGAACCAGGGGAACUGAAACAUCUAAGUACCCUGAGGAAAAGAAAUCAACCGAGAUUCCCUUAGUAGUGGCGAGCGAACGGGGACCAGCCCUUAAGUUGUAUUGAGAUUAGCGGAACGUUCUGGAAAGGACGGCCAUAGUGGGUGAUAGCCCUGUACGCGAAAAUCCCUUUGCAAUGAAAUCGAGUAGGACGGGGCACGAGAAACCUUGUCUGAAUAUGGGGGGACCAUCCUCCAAGGCUAAAUACUACUGACUGACCGAUAGUGAACCAGUACCGUGAGGGAAAGGCGAAAAGAACCGCGGAGAGCGGAGUGAAAUAGAUCCUGAAACCGUAUGCGUACAAGCAGUGGGAGCCCACUUUGUUGGGUGACUGCGUACCUUUUGUAUAAUGGGUCAGCGACUUAUUUUCAGUGGCGAGCUUAACCGAAUAGGGGAGGCGUAGCGAAAGCGAGUCUUAAUAGGGCGUCUAGUCGCUGGGAAUAGACCCGAAACCGGGCGAUCUAUCCAUGGGCAGGUUGAAGGUUGGGUAACACUAACUGGAGGACCGAACCGACUACCGUUGAAAAGUUAGCGGAUGACCUGUGGAUCGGAGUGAAAGGCUAAUCAAGCUCGGAGAUAGCUGGUUCUCCUCGAAAGCUAUUUAGGUAGCGCCUCAUGUAUCACUGUAGGGGGUAGAGCACUGUUUCGGCUAGGGGGUCAUCCCGACUUACCAAACCGAUGCAAACUCCGAAUACCUACAAGUGCCGAGCAUGGGAGACACACGGCGGGUGCUAACGUCCGUCGUGAAAAGGGAAACAACCCAGACCGUCAGCUAAGGUCCCAAAGUCAUGGUUAAGUGGGAAACGAUGUGGGAAGGCUUAGACAGCUAGGAGGUUGGCUUAGAAGCAGCCACCCUUUAAAGAAAGCGUAAUAGCUCACUAGUCGAGUCGGCCUGCGCGGAAGAUGUAACGGGGCUCAAACCAUGCACCGAAGCUACGGGUAUCAUCUUUUGAUGAUGCGGUAGAGGAGCGUUCUGUAAGCCUGUGAAGGUGAGUUGAGAAGCUUGCUGGAGGUAUCAGAAGUGCGAAUGCUGACAUGAGUAACGACAAUGGGUGUGAAAAACACCCACGCCGAAAGACCAAGGUUUCCUGCGCAACGUUAAUCGACGCAGGGUUAGUCGGUCCCUAAGGCGAGGCUGAAAAGCGUAGUCGAUGGAAAACAGGUUAAUAUUCCUGUACUUCUGGUUAUUGCGAUGGAGGGACGGAGAAGGCUAGGCCAGCCUGGCGUUGGUUGUCCAGGUUUAAGGUGGUAGGCUGAGAUCUUAGGUAAAUCCGGGAUCUUAAGGCCGAGAGCUGAUGACGAGUGUUCUUUAGAACACGAAGUGGUUGAUGCCAUGCUUCCAAGAAAAGCUUCUAAGCUUCAGGUAACCAGGAACCGUACCCCAAACCGACACAGGUGGUUGGGUAGAGAAUACCAAGGCGCUUGAGAGAACUCGGGUGAAGGAACUAGGCAAAAUGGCACCGUAACUUCGGGAGAAGGUGCGCCGGUGAGGGUGAAGCAUUUACUGCGUAAGCCCACGCCGGUCGAAGAUACCAGGCCGCUGCGACUGUUUAUUAAAAACACAGCACUCUGCAAACACGAAAGUGGACGUAUAGGGUGUGACGCCUGCCCGGUGCCGGAAGGUUAAUUGAUGGGGUUAGCGCAAGCGAAGCUCUUGAUCGAAGCCCCGGUAAACGGCGGCCGUAACUAUAACGGUCCUAAGGUAGCGAAAUUCCUUGUCGGGUAAGUUCCGACCUGCACGAAUGGCGUAACGAUGGCGGCGCUGUCUCCACCCGAGACUCAGUGAAAUUGAAAUCGCUGUGAAGAUGCAGUGUAUCCGCGGCUAGACGGAAAGACCCCGUGAACCUUUACUAUAGCUUUGCACUGGACUUUGAAUUUGCUUGUGUAGGAUAGGUGGGAGGCUUUGAAGCGUGGACGCCAGUCUGCGUGGAGCCAACCUUGAAAUACCACCCUGGCAACUUUGAGGUUCUAACUCAGGUCCGUUAUCCGGAUCGAGGACAGUGUAUGGUGGGUAGUUUGACUGGGGCGGUCUCCUCCUAAAGAGUAACGGAGGAGUACGAAGGUGCGCUCAGACCGGUCGGAAAUCGGUCGUAGAGUAUAAAGGCAAAAGCGCGCUUGACUGCGAGACAGACACGUCGAGCAGGUACGAAAGUAGGUCUUAGUGAUCCGGUGGUUCUGUAUGGAAGGGCCAUCGCUCAACGGAUAAAAGGUACUCCGGGGAUAACAGGCUGAUACCGCCCAAGAGUUCAUAUCGACGGCGGUGUUUGGCACCUCGAUGUCGGCUCAUCACAUCCUGGGGCUGAAGCCGGUCCCAAGGGUAUGGCUGUUCGCCAUUUAAAGUGGUACGCGAGCUGGGUUUAGAACGUCGUGAGACAGUUCGGUCCCUAUCUGCCGUGGACGUUUGAGAUUUGAGAGGGGCUGCUCCUAGUACGAGAGGACCGGAGUGGACGAACCUCUGGUGUUCCGGUUGUCACGCCAGUGGCAUUGCCGGGUAGCUAUGUUCGGAAAAGAUAACCGCUGAAAGCAUCUAAGCGGGAAACUUGCCUCAAGAUGAGAUCUCACUGGAACCUUGA